GACGAACCGUGCGAACGUUGUUCGGAAUCACUGGGCUUAAAGGGCGCGUAGGCGGCUCGCGAGGUCGGGGGUGAAAUCCCACGGCUCAACCGUGGAAGGGCCUCCGAUACCGGCGGGCUGGAGGGAGGUAGGGGUGCGCGGAACUUCUGGUGGAGCGGUGAAAUGCGUUGAUAUCAGAAGGAACGCCGGCGGCGAAAGCGGCGCACUGGACCUCCUCUGACGCUGAGGCGCGAAAGCCAGGGGAGCAAACGGG
rnacentral:rRNA from 1 species